rnacentral:rRNA from 1 species
UACGGGGGGAGCAAGCGUUGUUCGGAUUUACUGGGCGUAAAGAGCGCGCAGGCGGUCAUUCAAGUCGGGUGUGAAAGCCCCCGGCUCAACUGGGGAGGGUCACUCGAUACUGUUUGACUCGAAGGCGGGAGAGGGAAGUGGAAUUCCCGGUGUAGUGGUGAAAUGCGUAGAUAUCGGGAGGAACACCAGUGGCGAAGGCGACUUCCUGGCCCGUUCUUGACGCUGAGGCGCGAAAGCUAGGGGAGCAAACGGG